rnacentral:rRNA from 1 species
GACGAACGCUGGCGGCGUGCUUAACACAUGCAAGUCGAACGGAAAGGCCCCUUUGGGGGUACUCGAGUGGCGAACGGGUGAGUAAGACGUGAGUAACCUGCCCUUGACUUCGGGAUAGCUUCAGGUAACUGGGGCUAAUACCGGAUAGGAAUCCUUUCUUCAUGGUGGGGGUUGGAAAGCUUCGGCCGGUUUGGGUGGACUGGCUGGUUAACGGCUUGCUGGUGGGGUAGUGGCUUACCAAGGCUUUGUCGGGUAGCCGGCCUGAGUGGGCGACCGGCCACCUUGGGACUGAGGUACGGCCCAGACUCCUACGGGAGGCAGCAGUGGGGAAUAUUGCACAAUGGGCGGAAGGCUGAUGCAGCAACGCCGCGUGCGGGAUGACGGCCUUCGGGUUGUAAAACGCUUUCAGCAGGGGCGAAGCUUGUGGUGACGGUACCUGCUGAAGAAGCACCGGCUAACUACGUG